AACAAAGAUGUGUAGUCUGAUCGAGAGUAUUAAGCUAGUAUCUGCAUCAUUCUCUACAGAGCUUCAUCGUCAUCUGUGUCCAGCUCAAGGCCUUCUGCAGCCAAAAGCUGAUUAAUAACUUUUUUCUUCUCUUCCUCUGCUUUCUUCCGCAUCAAGUCCCUCUUCUUUAAGACAAGUGUAUGCCGCCUGAGAGUAUUGGUAUAAUACUCUGCAGACGCUUUUUUCUCUCUUGCUAGGAUUCUUCUCUCUUCUUCUGGGUCGAUCUUUGAACGAGAAAGACGGCGCGCACGGAGAUUCAUCUCACGCUGCUGUUGUUCAGCCCAUGCGGCAAUGGCCAUAUCACCCCGUUGAUCAAAAGCUUUUCGCUUUUUCAUAAGCCACUCCAUCCAUGCUUGUGAUGCCUUCAUUGGAUUGACCCUGUGAUCCAUAUCAUAUUGUCUCCGUUUCUCAUCAUCCAUGAGCAACUCAUAUGCAGCUUGAAUCUUAAUGAAUCUAGCUUCAGCUGUUUCUCCUUCCUCAAGAGUCCCUCUGCCAUCAUAGACAUCUGGAUGAUAAUAUGUGGCCAAGCGUCUGUAAGCAACCUUAAUCUCCUCUUCAUCCGCACCCCUUUCCAACUCAAGAGUUUCAUAUGGAGAUUUCUGAUCGGUCCA
rnacentral:misc_RNA from 1 species